CAGAGUAGAUAUUGCGCGUUAAGUGUUGAAGGAUGGGAAGUUGCCUUCAAACGAAAAAUAGUACCAUGUACUAUUUGCGGUGCAAUAUCGCAUCCGCUG
rnacentral:ncRNA from 19 species